rnacentral:lncRNA from 1 species
CACAAAUGGAUUUUCUUUUUUAUAGAGACCAUCACUUGUCACACUUGCACUUCGAUGCAAUUAUUUAUAGUCUUCUCACCUAAGAAAUUGAUAUUUGUUCCUAAGGAUUAAUUUAGCCUAAACUAUGGAUUCACAAGAACCACAGUUGCAAGCUGUCUGAGAAUAGGGUGCACAGAUAUAGAGCACGGAACAGUGAGAGGAUAUAAUAAUAAAAAAAGACUGCACCGAUGGUGUUGUGAGGAAUUGGAUGUAGACAGACGCCAACUAUAUUUAAAGAAAGCUAAAACUAUGAAUGCUAUUAAAAUGGAAAUCAUCCUUUCUUUCUUAAAUAGGUCCUCUUAAUUUUUUAAAAUUAUUUUAAACGAAGUUGGCAGUCUGGCAGGAUCCUUAGCAUAUUGAGCAAAGUACUUAGCUGGGUUCUUCUGACAUCACUUGUGCCUUUAAAUUCUGCCAAAGUGGACUUUGUCUUUCAUUCAGGGGGGUGAUGCAAAGAAGCACCAGUUGAGCACUGGAGUUGACAUGGAAUUGCUGGCUUUGUGCCAAUAUUUGAAAACAAUAUUAAUUCCAGUCUCUUAUCUUCUUUCUUGCCCGGUGGAAAUGCCAUGACCAUGUUGGCUUGUUCCUGGAGAUUAGUUCCCCUUGCUCAUAGUUCAUUCUUCCGAAUUCUGUUUAUUUCUUGCUCUCGUUUCUUACGCAUCUUAAUUGCUUGAUCAGUUCCACUUUACAACUGAUAUUUAAGAGAAAACCCUAUCAAAAAUAUAUACACGAUUGGUAAUUAACUGUCUAAAGAAACAGAUACAGCAUUUUUUUAUUACGUUGACCUGAAAAAUUUGAAGUAACGUUUGUUGUGAAAAGGAAGAAAUUCAGUUGAAGCUGUCAUUGUCCACUCUGACUCGUUGACUGUCUCUGUCUAUAUUACUAUAAAAUCACAUGAAAUUGGCAAAAGAGUAUUUUUUUACUUUUAAAGAAUCACCAAUAUGUAUCAUGUUCGAAAGACUCUGCAAAGAUAUUCUACAAACGUAUAACCCUGCUUCUAUAAAACGUUGCUGAAUUACUGUGAAAUAUUUCCUCUGAGAGAGAAAGCAUUUCUUUCCUUUAGUGUCUGAAAUGUGCAAGA